rnacentral:rRNA from 1 species
CCUACGGGUGGCAGCAGUGAGGAAUAUUGGUCAAUGGACGAGAGUCUGAACCAGCCAAGUAGCGUGAAGGAUGACUGCCCUAUGGGUUGUAAACUUCUUUUAUAAAGGAAUAAAACGAGGCACGUGUGCCUUUUUGCAUGUACUUUAUGAAUAAGGAUCGGCUAACUCCGUGCCAGCAGCCGCGGUAAUACGGAGGAUCCGAGCGUUAUCCGGAUUUAUUGGGGUUAAAGGGAGCGUAGAUGGGUUGUUAAGUCAGUUGUGAAAGUUUGCGGCUCAACCGUAAAAUUGCAAUUGAUACUGGCAGUCGUGAGUACAGUUGAGGUAGGCGGAAUUCGUGGUGUAGCGGUGAAAUGCUUAGAUAUCACGAAGAACUCCGAUUGCGAAGGCAGCUUACUAAACUGCCACUGACAUUGAUGCUCGAAAGUGUGGGUAUCAAACAGGAUUAGAUACCCGGGUAGUC